rnacentral:rRNA from 1 species
GAUGAACGCUAGCGGCAGGCCUAACACAUGCAAGUCGAGGGGCAUCGCGGUGCAGCAAUGCACUGGCGGCGACCGGCGUACGGGUGCGUAACGCGUAUGCAACCUGCCCCGCACCGGGGGAUAGCCCGCCGAAAGGCGGAUUAAUACCCCAUGGCCCCGGGGGCCCGCAUGGGCAUCCGGGUAAAGCCUUGGCGGUGCGGGAUGGGCAUGCGUGCCAUUAGCUGGCUGGUGGGGUAACGGCCCACCAGGGCAACGAUGGCUAGGGGGUCUGAGAGGAUGGUCCCCCACACUGGUACUGAGACACGGACCAGACUCCUACGGGAGGCAGCAGUGAGGAAUAUUGGUCAAUGGGCGGAAGCCUGAACCAGCCAUGCCGCGUGCGGGAUGAAGGCCCACGGGUUGUAAACCGCUUUUCCCCGGGAAGAAUAACCCCGAUGAGUCGGGGGAUGCCGGUACCGGGGGAAUAAGGAUCGGCUAACUCCGUG